rnacentral:misc_RNA from 1 species
AAAGAAUUGAGUUUGAGUUGAUUUCCCAAGUUUCUCAAAGAGCAAUCCCACUUACCUUAAUUGAUAUCUCUACCAUAGGAGUCCUUAUUUGACUUAAGAUUAUUCCUGAUAUUGUAGAUUUGCAGUUUAGAAUUGACAAUCUGUCUUUGAGUAGAACUAAAUGUUUAGAAAAUUUAAUGCAUAUUAACAUAGUGGCAAAUUGAUAUAGAGCAAGAAGAACAAAGAGAUCAAGAUAAACACAUUCUCGAGACAAAAGAGAAACUGAUUAUCAAUAACUCUUAUUAAUUCUCAACAAUAAUCAUAAUAAUCAAAUCCACUAAAUCCCUUGUUAACACAUAAAUAGAUAAUAAAAUAACUAGUCUUAUUGCUGCUAGGAUUAGGAAUAAUAUAAUAGCAUUCCUAUAUGAUAUAAACUUCCUAAUUAAUAAUAAUCUAAAUUUCCUAAUUAUGCAAUGAAUAUAAUUCUUAUGUAUAAUAAGUUGAUUCUUCUUCCAAUACUUCAUCAUUAGUAUUCAGUAUCUUAUAUUGAGGCUCGCUACUUUUAUUUUAUACAUAAAUCUGAUUCAUUGUACUCAUUUUCCAACAAAUCAUUUUUGGAUUCCUUAAGAUGGUUGAACAUGGUCAAGAAGCUUUCUCUUAUCUUAAACCUGAUCAUGUUUGUUUUGCAACUAAACUCUUCACAUUAGGGUGAAAUAUUACUAUAUUAUUAUUCUAAACUUGUGCUCAGCUCUAGGUUGGAUUACAAUUUUACAAGUUUAGCUAAUGUUAUGCUGCACUUAAACUUGUGUAAUUGCGGUUAACUGGAAAAACCAUAAACAAUAUUAAAUGUGUUAAUAAUGAUAAGGGAUGCACUUCCUUUCUCCAACAAAGAAGCCAAAGGAAAGGAGAGGGACACAAUCCUAAUUUGCUGGAGAUUGUGAGAUUUAGUUUUUAGUCUGAUCCUUUCCUAGAAUUGUGUUGCUUACUGGCUGCAAACUCUAUUAAAUGUCAACAGCAUAUAAAUUCUGUAGGUUUAAACAUCUAAUGAAAAUGGAACAGAAACAUGAAAAGCAUCUUUGGUUGAAUAUGCAGCAGUGUUCUGGAGUUUGGGCAUUUAUCAUUAUGUCAAUGCCAUUAUUCCUAUCAGUAUUUUAUUGUUCUUUU